rnacentral:tRNA from 1 species
GGGCGUAUAGUUCAGUCGGUUAGAACGCGGUUCUUAUAAAGCCGAAGUCCAUGGUUCGAGUCCAUGUACGCCCA